ACUUUUAUAGGAUAGUAGUAAUCCGUUGGUCUUAGGAAUCAAAAACUUGGUGCAACUCCAAAUGAAAGUA
ensembl:Mt_tRNA